GACACGGCUGCUUGACUCGCUUUUGCAGUGCCAAGGAAUGGCAGGCAUGACUGCUCUGAGGGGGUACAAGUCGCUCGUCCUCCCCUGGGCCCCGCUCCUCUGCCGCCAUCACCGCCCUCCCCCCACCCUCCCCGGACUAUGCUGCCUCUGUUCCUGGGAGCAGGGGAGUGGGCCUCCCGUCUGGAGGCUCUACUAUAUCCUUUCCUGGGCAAGUCUUGCCCCCACACGUCCCAGCCUGGGAGUCUCAGCAGUGCGUUGGUGCUCACUGAUGGCUUGGGUUGGCUACGGUACUGACGCCCCAAAGAGGAUUAACGAGCUUCCCGGGCCUGUUGGUUGACUCUGCCUUGGGAAGCCGUCCAAUCCAGAGCUGGGUCUAUCCCCACAACACAGCAUGCUUUCCUAUGACUCAGAGCUUGCAAAUGCUGAAAAUACUACCACCGUGUUCUGCAGGAUGACAAAUUCUCCCAAAUGCUAUCACCACGGACUUCCUUCCAUGGCAGCUUCACAGCCAGUCUGCAAGGCAGUGUAAGCCCUAAGUCUCUGGGCGUCAGCUUAGAUCUGCUCCAACCAAGCAAGUCUACUGAUGGUCCGAACAGAAUGGAUUGUGGUCUUGUUGCCCUUAUCUGAGAAUUUGUUCUAAUAAUAUCUACUUCACAAAGCCACUGUUUCUGGGUGGCCUCUGUGGACUCGUGGGAGCAAAACUGUAUGAGGAGACGACACACAGAGCAAAGAAGGAGGAGGUGAAUGCCAGGAAUCGGCAGGGCUGGCUAUCAGUGGAGGGGCUGGAAUGUCUAUAACACCUGAUUUGAAGUGGGAGAGGAGGAAAAUAUCAAAAAUCUUCUUCGUCUGUUAAUUUUCCCUAGUGUGAUCUGUACUGUUAGAAUGAACACCGAUACCUGAAAUCAGUGUCUAUGAUCCGUAUGCGGCUUCUGCAGACAUUAUACUUGGUUAUUUCUCAAUGCAGAUGGUCCUCGAUUUAAGAUGGUCGAACUUAGGAUUUUUCAACCUUAUGAUGACGAGAAAGCAAUAAGCAUUCAGUAGAAAUCAUACUUGGAAUUUUGAUCUUUUCCCCAGGCUAGCAAUAUUCGGUAUGAUACUCUCGUGAUGUUGACAUCAGCCACAAUCACGAGAGUAAACAACUGGUACACUUAGAACCCUCCCGUACCCACACAACCAUGCUGUUAUUCACUUUCACUACAGAAUUCAAUUACAUGAGCUGUUCAUCACUUUAUUAUAAAAUAGGCUUUGUGUUAGAUGAUGUUGUCCAACUAUAGGUUCAUGGAAAUGUUCUGGGCAUGUUUAAGGUAGGCUAGACUAAGUGAUGAUGUCCAGUAGGUUAGGUAUAUAUUAAAUGCAUUUUUGACUUACGACGUUUUCAACUUAUGAUGGGUUUAUUGGGGUGUAACCCCAUCCUAAGUCAAGGAAGGUCUGUAUUCCCAGAGAUGGUGGCCAGCACUGGUGUGAAGAAAGGAGCCAUUCACAGAAUCAGCCUGGGGGUGUCCUGAAGCAAAAUGAGAAUGAUUUGGGUGUUAUUUACAGCUUCAGACUCCACAGAUGAAAGGCUAUGAGGUGCUUUAGCAACAGAAAGAUCCAGGGCACCCCCAGACUGGGUGCGGUCUGUGAAUGGCUCAUUUCUUUGGGCAUCUUCAUAGUGCUCUUUUCACCUCUCUGUUAGGUACUUAUUGAAACCCCUGACGUAUAAUGGGCUUCUGAUACUUUGAACCAUGACACUGGG